rnacentral:rRNA from 1 species
UCUUUAUCGGAGAGUUUGAUCCUGGCUCAGGACGAACGCUGGCGGCGUGCCUAAUACAUGCAAGUCGA